CUCAUUUUGUGGGCAGUGUGCACGUAGUCUCCCUAAGAGACCCAGGACCAGCUUGCUUAGGGGAAUCGUCUCCGGGUUCAUCUCUCCAUAGGUGAUGGCUUUGUUAUGCAAGAGCCAAAAAGAUUGGAGAAGUUGUCACAUGAGAUGACGCUGGAGAGAUGAAGCAGGUACGGGGAGUAAAACCUUUCAUCAAGACGGACAUGGAACGAGACAGGAACAGCGUCAGCAAACUAAUACUAAAGACAAAAAACAAUACAUGCAGCAGCGGGGAACAAAGCAGGGGAACUGACAAAUAUAGGAGAGGAAAUAAAUAGAUGAGUGAGUCCAAGUGAGUCCAAUAUCGCUGAUGCGCAUGACGAGGGAAUGCAGGUGUGCGUAAUGGAUGGAGGGAGUGCAUGAUGCAAAGCAACCUGGCGCCCUCAAGUGCCGGGGGGGGGAGGAGUGGGAUCAGACGUAACAUUACACCCCCUCUUGGGGCGCCACUCGGCAUCCCACUUGGGCGACCCGGCCGAGAUAUUGUUCUAUUGUUUCUAGUACUUGUUUGGUAUAUGCUUAACACCCCGGCCGUCCUACAAUCUAAACUAGAUGCCCUCAAUCUCACACAAAUUAUCAAGGAAACUUCUUUUUGAAUGUCUGAUAAUCUACAAUUUACAUAGGAGUGGUUAAAACAUGCUAAUAAUGUUCAUCUGAGUAUAUAAAAAAAAGUUUGUUACACCUCAACUUGUAUGCCAUCCAGCCCUGGAGUUUUCCCAGAUUUAAAGGCUUAAUUGCAUCAAGAAGUUCCUCCUCUGUAAUUUGGCCUUCAUAUGAGUCUUUCUGUACGGCUGUUAAUUUUACUUUAUUAAUAGAAAAAAAAUCCAUACACUUAGCUUCGCUUAAAGGAGAUGGAGGAGACUGAAACGAAAACACAUGCUUAAAGUACUUUGCUUGUCACGUCCUGACCAUAGUAAGAUGUUAUUUUCUAUGGUAGAGUAGGUCAGGGCGUGACGGGGGGUGUUUUUCUAUGUUUUGUAUUUCUAUGUUCAGAUUCUAGUUUUGUAUUUCUAUGUUGGGUUUGUUUGGGAUGGUCUCCAGUUAGAGGCAGCUGGUCCUCGUUGUCUCUAAUUGGAGAUCAUACUUAAGUAGGGUUUUUUUUCCACCUGGGUUUGUGGGAGAUUAAUUUUGAGUCAGUGUACGUGUCACCACUGCGUCACGGUUUGUUGUUUUGUCAUUUAGUUUAUUUAUAUGUAUCGCAUAGUUUCACAGUGUUAAUAAAAUGUGGAACGACACACACGGUGCACUUUGGUCCGCUCCUCCUUACGACAACCGUGACAUUGCUUCCUCCUUCAAAAUGUAGUUUGGUGAAUCAUGGGUGACUCUGUCAUUUGUAACAAGUUUCAGUAAAUUAUUUUUGGUAGUAUUUCUAUGUUGAAGAUUAAAAAAUUAUUUGGUGCAUUUUUCCCAAAAUUCCAUCUAGUUUGCUUUAUUUGUAUAAUAUAUUACACUGGAUCUUUCUUGAAUAAGUUCCUCAGUUUCUUUUUGUUUUACCUCUAACUUAAUCUGAG
rnacentral:lncRNA from 1 species